rnacentral:rRNA from 1 species
AGAGUUUGAUCCUGGCUCAAGAUGAACGCUAGCUACAGGCUUAACACAUGCAAGUCGAGGGGCAGCAUUUUUAUAGCAAUAUAAAAGAUGGCGACCGGCGCACGGGUGAGUAACACGUAUCCAACCUGCCGAUAACUCGGGGAUAACCCUUCGAAAGAAGGCCUAAUACCCGAUGGCAUAUCCCUUCCGCCUGGUGGGGAUAUUAAAGAACUUCGGUUAUCGAUGGGGAUGCGUUCCAUUAGCUUGUUGGCGGGGUAACGGCCCACCAAGGCUUCGAUGGAUAGGGGUUCUGAGAGGAAGGUCCCCCACAUUGGAACUGAGACACGGUCCAAACUCCUACGGGAGGCAGCAGUGAGGAAUAUUGGUCAAUGGACGAGAGUCUGAACCAGCCAAGUAGCGUGAAGGAUGAAGGUCCUAUGGAUUGUAAACUUCUUUUAUACGGGAAUAAAGUGCAGUAUGCAUACUGUUUUGUAUGUACCGUAUGAAUAAGGAUCGGCUAACUCCGUGCCAGCAGCCGCGGUAAUACGGAGGAUCCGAGCGUUAUCCGGAUUUAUUGGGUUUAAAGGGAACGUAGGCGGAUGCUUAAGUCAGUUGUGAAAGUUUGCGGCUCAACCGUAAAAUUGCAGUUGAUACUGGGCGUCUUGAGUACAGUAGAGGUAGGCGGAAUUCGUGGUGUAGCGGUGAAAUGCUUAGAUAUCACGAAGAACUCCGAUUGAGAAGGCAGCCUGCUGGACUGUCACUGACGAUGAUGCUAGAAAGUGUGGGUAUCCAACAGGAUUAGAUGCCCUGGUACUCCACACAGUAAACGA